UUANCCGUUAAACUGCUUGGGAAACUGAUAAUCUAGAGUAAGGGAGAGGCAGAUGGAAUUCUNGGUGUAGGGGUAAAAUCCGUAGAUAUCAAGAAGAAUACCUAUUGCGAAGGCGNUCUGCUGGAACUUAACUGACGCUAAUGCGUGAAAGCGUGGGGAGCAAACAGGAUUAGAUACCCUGGUAGUNCACGCCCUAAACGAUGUAUACCGGUUGUUGCUGUGCUAGUCGCGGCAGUAUCCACCUAACGGAUUAAGUAUACCGCCUGGGGAGUACGGUCGCAAGAUUAAAACUCAAAGGAAUAGACGGGGACCCGCACAAGCGGUGGAGCAUGUGGUUUAAUUCGAAGAUACGCGAAGAACCUUACCCGGACUUGAUAUCUAACAAAUCAUCCAGAGAUGGAAGAGUGUCUGCUUGCAGAAAUGUUAAGACAGGUGCUGCACGGCUGUCGUCAGCUCGUGUCGUGAGAUGUUGGGUUAAGUCCCGCAACGAGCGCAACCCACGUCAUUAGUUGCUAACGGUUCGGCCGAGCACUCUAAUGAGACUGCCUUCGUGAGGAGGAGGAAGGUGUGGACGACGUCAAGUCAUCAUGGCCCUUAUGUCCGGGGCGACACACGUGCUACAAUGGCAUAUACAAUAAGACGCAAUAUCGUAAGAUGGAGCAAAUCUAAAAAAUAUGUCCCAGUUCGGAUUGGAGUCUGCAACUCGACUCCAUGAAGCCGGAAUCGCUAGUAAUCGUAGAUCAGCCAUGCUACGGUGAAUACGUUCCCGGGUCUUGUACUCACCGCCCGUCACACCAUGGGAGUUGAUUUCACUCGAAGCGGGAAUGCGAAAUUCGCUNCCCUCCACAG
rnacentral:rRNA from 1 species